rnacentral:rRNA from 1 species
UCGCUGACGAGUGGCGGACGGUGAGUAAUGUCUGGGAAACUGCSUGAUGGAGGGGGAUAACUACUGGAAACGGUAGCUAAUACCGCAUAACGUCGCAAGACCAAAGAGGGGGACCUUCGGGCCUCUUGCCAUCGGAUGUGCCCAGAUSGGAUUAGCUAGUAGGUGGGGUAACGGCUCACCUAGGCGACGAUCCCUAGCUGGUCUGAGAGGAUGACCAGCCACACUGGAACUGAGACACGGUCCAGACUCCUACGGGAGGCAGCAGUGGGGAAUAUUGCACAAUGGGCGCAAGCCUGAUGCAGCCAUGCCGCGUGUAUGAAGAAGGCCUUCGGGUUGUAAAGUACUUUCAGCGGGGAGGAAGGYGACAGGGUUAAUAACCCUGUCGAUUGACGUUACCCGCAGAAGAAGCACCGGCWAAYUCCGUGCCAGCAGCCGCGGUAAUACGGAGGGUGCAAGCGUUWAUSGGAAUUACUGGGCGUAAAGCGCACSCRGGCGGUCUGUCAAKUYGGAUGUGAAAUCCCCGGGYUCAACCUGGGAACUGCAUUCGAAACUGGCAGGCUAGAGUCUUGUAGAGGGGGGUAGAAUUCCAGGUGUAGCGGUGAAAUGCGUAGAGAUCUGGAGGAAUACCGGUGGCGAAGGCGGCCCCCUGGACAAAGACUGACGCUCAGGUGCGAAAGCGUGGGGAGCAAACAGGAUUAGAUACCCUGGUAGUCCACGCCGUAAACGAUGUCGACUUGGAGGUUGUGCCCUUGAGGCGUGGCUUCCGGAGCUAACGCGUUAAGUMGACCGCCUGGGGAGUACGGCCGCAAGGUUAAAACUCAAAUGAAUUGACGGGGGCCCGCACAAGCGGUGGAGCAUGUGGUUUAAUUCGAUGCAACGCGAAGAACCUUACCUACUCUU